UGCAAAACCUAAAGGCGUAAUGAGAGUGAAGGUCGGCUUGCCGGCUGAUGUGGGAUCCAGUUAUAGAUUCUGGCGCACCACAGUCCCGUCUCGUCCGCAUUGUCGGUGAGGCGGAGACAGAGCGUACACGUUGGGACCCGAAAGAUGGUGAACUAUGCCUGAGCAGGACGAAGCCAGAGGAAACUCUGGUGGAGGUCCGAAACGGUUCUGACGUGCAAAUCGAUCGUCAGACUUGGGUAUAGGGGCGAAAGACUAAUCGAACCAUCUAGUAGCUGGUUCCUUCCGACUGA
rnacentral:rRNA from 1 species